rnacentral:tmRNA from 1 species
CCUCUUGAACGCAGGCCCCACCCCGCCUAUAUCUUGCUUGUUCCGCAAGGGACUAUGGACAUAAACGCGCUCGUAAUAAGCGGAUCGGACCCGGGGGCGGUACCCGGCGACUCCACCAACAAAACCUGUCAUUUGCAGGUGGGCAUGGGGUCGAAAUAGGAUCGACGAACGUCUAAAGGGGUUAGCUUUGUCCCGGUGAGAUACCACCGUUAUCGGUUCAAAUCGUACAGUUGCAAAUGACAACCGUGCUCCGGCAAUGGCUAUCGCAGCGUAAGCUGCCUUAGUCGCCGAACUUAAGCCCUGAUGCCUAGCCGCAUCAGGCGGGGUUCGCAGGCACCUGGCAACAGAAGCCUGCACU